AAAGCCUAACCUAAUACGUUAGGUCUUGACGGUACCUUCUUAGCAAGCACCGGCUAACUCCGUGCCAGCAGCCGCGGUAAUACGGAGGGUGCAAACGUUGCUCGGAAUUAUUGGGCGUAAAGCGCACGUAGGCGGUCCGCUAAAGUCGGAUGUGAAAGCCCUCGGCUUAACCGAGGAAGUGCAUCCGAAACUGACGGGCUAGAGUACGGAAGAGGGUUUCGGAAUUCCCGGUGUAGAGGUGAAAUUCGUAGAUAUCGGGAGGAACACCAGUGGCGAAGGCGGAAACCUGGGCCGAUACUGACGCUGAGGUGCGAAAGCGUGGGGAGCAAAACAGGAUUAGAUACCCUGGUAGUCCACGCCGUAAACGAUGAGCGCUAGGUGUUGGGGGGUAUUUGGACCCCCCCAGUACCGCAGCUAACGCGUUAAGUCGCUCCGCCUGGGGAGGUACGGCCGG
rnacentral:rRNA from 1 species